UGCCAGCACCCCGAGUGGUCGGGACGUUUAUUGGGCCUAAAGCAUCCGUAGCCGGUUCUACAAGUCUUCCGUUAAAUCCACCUGCUUAACAGAUGGGCUGCGGAAGAUACUAUAGAGCUAGGAGGCGGGAGAGGCAAGCGGUACUCGAUGGGUAGGGGUAAAAUCCGUUGAUCCAUUGAAGACCACCAGUGGCGAAGGCGGCUUGCCAGAACGCGCUCGACGGUGAGGGAUGAAAGCUGGGGGAGCAAACCGG
rnacentral:rRNA from 1 species